ACCUGACCAUUCAAGGCCACCAGGCAUCUGUGUUUAGAAAACACGAUUUUCACGUUCUCGUAUUUUGUAACCUACCUAUAACGUAAGCGAUUUUUCUAGUUAUGAAAGCAAAAUUUGUAUCAGAGACAUUCAGCUAAAGGGACGGUAUGGAGGAGUUUGAUGAACGUUCGUACAAUUUAACACUAUCCAAGGUCUAAAACUGGAAUUUUUUCUUCAACAUUAAGAAUGUAAACAAAAGCUUUGUUUACAUAGCAUAAAACUCAACGAAUGACACUCAAAGAAGAUGGGUGGAUAAGGCGUGUAAAAUGCCCAUACACGUUUGGAAGACCUACUAAAAAAUUAAAAUAUCAAUAAAUCUGAUAUUUGUUUUUAAAAAUCAUUUAAAACAAUAUAUAUUGAACAUAUCGUUGAUUUGUAACCUAUAAAUAUGUUCAAUACUUGGAAUAUGUUGACUCAAACUGGCGUAUACGUAUCAAAACCUGCAAAUAGUGUCAUUUUGUAGAACUUUAAGGCAUUUUCUUUCAUAGAGUCGGGCUGUGCUCCAUAUUUUUCUCGUAGUCUAAAUAAAGUCUAAUGGAAAACAAACAGAUUUCAAUCAACAAAAAAAAAACGUGGAGAAAUAACCCACUAUACAUUAAAAAUAUCAUUUUGUAUCCCAACAAUUGAACGUUUUGAAAAAAAAAAUAAUACAAGUUCGUAAAUUCGUGGCCAAAGUCACACUUAGUAUAUAAACAUCAUGAUUUCUUCUGUCUAAAAUUGCUCAGUGGUUAGAGCAUUUGGCAUAAAGUAACCUUAUAGAUCUAGGGGUUUUAUGUUAUGGGUUCGAUACCACCAAAAUUUAAUGCAAUAUUUUUUUUUCGUAUCAUUUGUUUAAUACAUUAAAACUGAAUAUAGAUAAAAAUUGCGCUUUUGCAAACUUGUAUUAUAAUAUAUUUGAAUGGAUUUGAUUGGGAAAAAUAAAUUCAAAUUUGGUU
rnacentral:misc_RNA from 1 species